CGUCCUCACAAUACAGACAUUGAAAAAAAAUCUACAUUUUCCCUUUAAUACAUCCGUGGGAAGAAUGGCGGAUGGUUUUCUUUUGACUUCUAAAUAAGUCUGCAACUAAUAAUAAUGUUGAGAAAACAAUCUCAUCACAAGUUCCAUUUAUUAGCUUUUUUGGAGCUUUGUCCAUGCUGGCACAAGGUGAAGAAAUAACUCAUGACACAUCUGACCCAGCUGUCAAUACAAGCUUUUGAUCCUUUGACAGUUUGAAGUGUCUUUAACUGGCACAGCAGAACCAACUCCAGUCCUUUGGCAUCUGGAUACAUGAUUAAGUUAAAGCUGUAGAAACCUGCAGUCUCUGUCGCUUAUCCACCUGUUUACGCUCUUUAGGUGUUAUGAAUGGAUGAAGUGUCUUGAGCUGCAGCAUCUGAUCGCCUCAGACUGACCCUAGAACGACAUGCAGGGAAGCUGGAGGGAAGAUGACAAGUGCACAUUCAUCAUCUUGGAUAAGCAGCGAUGGGUAGAUCCCAGUUUAGAAGAAGAGGAGUAGUGCAUGGUGAGAGAUGUCAACAUGUUCAUGACUGACCCAACAGACCUCUCCUCAGCUGAGCUGGAGAUCACGAUAGCAGAUCCUGAUCCUCCAAACAGCCACAAACAAGGCACCCAUGGCUCUGGGGUUCAUCCUUGAAGCUGCAAAGAAACCCGACUUUCCAUCCAGUGCAUGUUCAAGAGUGAGUGGGGACAAUGGAGCUGAGACUGUGGAUGUUGGAGGCUGUGGUAAGGGAAGCUUCAGGGAGAAGUGUCCCCAACCAAAGAACAUCUUAAAGUGAGUUCUCCCUUAAUUGGUUUACAUGCUUCAGUGGAAUGUCCUCCACACUUGGUGUUAAGGUGGACCAAAGGUUUACAGAACAAAAUAACCUAAGUCUAUUUUGUCUUUGUUUUUCCCCACAGCCUGCCCCCAAUCCAAGAUAGCAGCUAUCUGAUCAGUGACCGACUAAAAAAAAAAAAGUCUCUUUACAAUGCACAGAAAACAGCCUGUGAACGAGAGACUUUUAUUGUAUCAGCAUGGUCUUUAUUUGGAAUAGACGACAAAACUGCUGCUGAGUUCAGGCUAUAGUUAAAGAAGUACUGUAAAUAAAAGUACUGUAGUUCCCUUUUAGUGUAAACAGUGACACACAGGCCAUCUCCUCAAGACAGGGAGCUUAUUGUCAGUUUACUGUAGAAAAUGUUUCCACAUAUCAGUUUUUUGCCGUAACGAACCAAGAAAUUACUUGGUAGUUGUAGGUAAAUACACUCUAUAAAACACUCAUGUCCAUGUGAAUAUAUACUCGCUGUCACUUUAUUCAUGUACUAUUGUAUGCAGGUCAAUGCAACACUUCUGCCUUAACAUCUGUGUUUAUGAAGCUCAAAAUGGUUGUACUGGUGGUGU